rnacentral:rRNA from 1 species
GAUGAACGCUAGCGGCAGGCUUAAUACAUGCAAGUCGAGGGACAGCACAGGUGGCAAUACUGGGUGGUAACCGGCAAACGGGUGCGGAACACGUACACAACCUUCCUUUAAGUGGGGGAUGGCCCAGAGAAAUUUGGAUUAAUACCCCGUAAUAUAGUUGAAUGGCAUCAUUUGAUUAUUAUAGCUACGGCGCUUAAUGAUGGGUGUGCGGCUGAUUAGAUAGUUGGCGGGGUAACGGCCCACCAAGUCUACGAUCAGUAGCUGAUGUGAGAGCAUGAUCAGCCACACGGGCACGGAGACACGGGCCCGACUCCUACGGGAGGCAGCAGUAAGGAAUAUUGGUCAAUGGACGCAAGUCUGAAUCAGCCAUGCCGCGUGAAGGAUUAAGGUCCUCUGGAUUGUAAACUUCUUUUAUUUGGGACGAAAAAGGGCCUUUCUAGGUCAACUGACGGUACCAGAUGAAUAAGCACCGGCUAACUCCGUGCCAGCAGCCGCAGUAACAC